GAGCAGUCCUCAGCGAGAUUCAAAAAUUGAAGAAAUGAGAUCUCGCUCACCAGGGAAGGAGCCCAGAGAGUUUCCCAAGAGAAAGGCACUAUUCCACCAUGCAAGUGACAGACAGGAGACAAAUCGGAUACCAGCACAGGCAGCGUGUCAUCCUCAGUGGUUUUCAGAAAACAUGUGACUCGCGGAAAUCAAAGACUAUUACUACAGAGUAAUUACAAAGCAGAGUGAGCAACAGUAUCAAAUGUGACAAUUUUGAAUUAUCAUUAUCAUGCUCACGGGCCCUCAUCCUGGUGGGGGACUUCUACCAUCCGGACAUCUGUUGGAAAGACCACAUGGCGAGCUGCAAGAGGUCCAGAAGGCUCAUGGAAUCCACUGAUGAUAACUUUCUGGUCCAGGUAUUGGACAGACCAACCACAGGUGAAGCGUUGCUGGACCUGCUGCUCACCAACGAGGAAAAGAUCAUCAAAGGCAUCAACGCUGGAGGCAGUCUGGGCUGCAGCAACCGUGCCCUGGCUGAGUUCGUGAUCUCAAGGGAUGUGGGCCUGGCAAAGAGUGGGGUCAGGACCCUGAACUUUGGAAGAGCAAACUUUAAGCUGUUCAAUGGAUUGUUGGCCAAGAUCCCCUGGGAUGCUGUCCUUAAAGGUAAAGAUGUUGAGGAGAGCUGGCUACUCUUCGAGGAUGCCCUCCUGAAAGCACAAGAGGUCUCCAUCACUCUGAAUAAGAAAGUGGGCAGAUGAGAUAGGAAACCAGCAUGGCUCGGCAAGGACCUGCUGGGCACACUGAGGGCAAAGAAAGGUGUGUACAAGCUCUGGAAACAAGGGCGUGUCACGUGGGAAGAGUACAGGGAUGCUGUCCGGACUUGCAGACGUAGGAUCAGGAAAGCCAAGGCACAGGUAGAACUGAACUUGGCGAGGGUUGUGAAAAACAAUAAGAAGACAUUCUACAGGUACACUGGCCAGAAGAGACAGGCCAAAAUGGGUGUACCUUCUUUAGUAAAUUUAAAAGGAGAACUGGCUUCAACGGACAAAGAGAAAGCUGAGGUACUGAACAGGGCUCUUUGCCUCGGUCUUCACUGGCGGCCAGGAUUCUAGUGUUUCUCACGUCCCUGAGUCCUGCACCCCCAAUCCUCCAGGUGGGGACCAGGAGGGUAAAUCCCCUCCCACUGUAAGGGCAGAGCAAGUCCGAGACCACCUCAUGAGACUGGAUGAGUACAAGUCUUUGGGGCCAGAUGGUGUGCAUCCCAGGGUUCUGAAGGAACUGUCUGAGGUGGUUGCCAAGCCACUCUCCAUCAUAUUUGAGAAGUCAUGGCUGUCAGGCAAGGUCCCAGACGACUGGAGGAAGGGUUACGUCACUCCCAUUUACAAGAAAGAGAGCAAGGAGGACCUGGGGAACUACAGGCUGGUGAGUCUCACCUCUGUGCCUGGGAAGAUCAUGGAACAGAUCCUCCUGGAUGACAUGCUCGAUCACAUGAGGAAUGAGCGUGUGAUCCAAGACAGCCAGCAUGGCUUCACCAGGGGAAGGUCAUGCUUAACCAAUCUUGUGGCUUUCUAUGAUGGAGUGACGGCAUUGGUGGAUGAGGGGAAGGUGACCGACGUCAUAUACCUGAACUUGACCAAGGCCUUUGACAUGGUCCCCCACCACAUCCUUAUUUCCAAAUUGGAGGGAUUGAGGUCCCUUCCAACCCAGGCCAUUCUGUGAUUCUGUGAUUAAAAACAGAUCACAAGAAAUAAGUUCAUCCUCCAUAAAAAUAGCAGAUUAUUAUUAUUAAUGCUUAUUAUGUGUUUGCCCAGGACAUCACUGCGCAAAGUGCUGUAAAGCUGGAAAAAGUAAAUACUUCUUCUAUUCACUUUACAAACAUUCAAGGUUUCUUUCAAUCUUUCUAAAGUACAAGGAAGCACAAAGAACAGAUUCUGGUUCCAAAGAAAGAAAUGCACUUGUUUAACAGAUCGCUGACCCCUAUGAAUAUUUCUAAUGCAUUUAAUAAGAGUAAGAUGUAAUUUAUUGUACAGAUAUUCAACAUUAAACAGGUAUUUAUUG
rnacentral:lncRNA from 1 species